UGCGCAGGCGGGUUUGUAAGUCAGUGGUGAAAUCCUGCCACUUAACGGUAGAAUUGCCAUUGAUACUGCGAAUCUUGAGUAUGGUUGAGGUAGGCGGAAUGUGUAGUGUAGCGGUGAAAUGCAUAGAUAUUACACAGAACUCCGAUUGCGAAGGCAGCUUACUAAGCCAUAACUGACGCUGAGGCACGAAAGCGUGGGGAGCGAACAGGAUUAGAUACCCUGGUAGUCC
rnacentral:rRNA from 1 species